GAUGAACGCUGGCGGCGUGCCUAAUACAUGCAAGUCGAGCGAACAGACGAGGAGCUUGCUCCUCUGACGUUAGCGGCGGGCGGGUGAGUAACACGUGGAUAACCUACCUAUAAGACUGGGAUAACUUCGGGAAACCGGAGCUAAUACCGGAUAAUAUAUUGAACCGCAUGGUUCAAUAGUGAAAGACGGUUUUGCUGUCACUUAUAGAUGGAUCCGCGCCGCAUUAGCUAGUUGGUAAGGUAACGGCUUACCAAGGCAACGAUGCGUAGCCGACCUGAGAGGGUGAUCGGCCACACUGGAACUGAGACACGGUCCAGACUCCUACGGGAGGCAGCAGUAGGGAAUCUUCCGCAAUGGGCGAAAGCCUGACGGAGCAACGCCGCGUGAGUGAUGAAGGUCUUCGGAUCGUAAAACUCUGUUAUUAGGGAAGAACAAAUGUGUAAGUAGCUAUGCACGUCUUGACGGUACCUAAUCAGAAAGCCACGGCUAACUACGUG
rnacentral:rRNA from 1 species